rnacentral:rRNA from 1 species
UACGGGGGGAGCAAGCGUUGUUCGGAUUUACUGGGCGUAAAGGGCGCCGUAGGCGGCCAGCGCAAGUCAGUUGUGAAAUCUCCGGGCUUAACUCGGAACGGUCAACUGAUACUGCGCGGCUAGAGUGCAGAAGGGGCAACUGGAAUUCUCGGUGUAGCGGUGAAAUGCGUAGAUAUCGAGAGGAACACCUGCGGCGAAGGCGGGUUGCUGGGCUGACACUGACGCUGAUGCGCGAAAGCCAGGGGAGCGAACGGG